AGCCAUUGCUAUGACUUUCAAAACAGAGGUUAGAAACCCGUAAGACUUUGAGGAAUAAUGAAGUCUUUGUAAUCAAUAAAAUUCCUGAAAAAUAUAUAAGCAGGUCAGAUUCAGUGGCAAGUGAGAAGAGUACACUGAGACCCAGUGGGAACAAUUUGAUGAUCUCAUAAUACAUAAAUAAAUUCAAACCUUUUGGAUUUACUGUCUCUCUGCUCUCGGACUGGUUGAAUCAGGUGUCUUGAGUGACACUACACUGGAAACCGGAUUUGGACUGGGAUCUGUGGUAUGCUUACCUCCAGAGUCAUCCUCCUCCUGUCGCCGCCAUCAAUUCUUUGAAGAGAUGGUCUAUAGAAAAUUGCAAUUCAUCCAUUUGUUCUUUGACUCAGUAAACAGUUUUUACUGAACAUCUUCUAUGUGCUAGUGCUUUAUGAGACCAUGGAAAUAAUACGAUUAAUGAGACAAAAAUGGUGUCUGUCCUUGUGGAGCUUACAGUCAGUGGAUUAGGCUGGGAACCAGUACGAACAACUCAGUUAAUUCUGAGAAUUUGUAACAGAGUGUUUGGGUCUUGGGAUGCUUUUCAAAGUUGUGACAUUUAAGCAAUUAUCUGAAAGGUGAGAAAUCAAUAUACAACAUGAUGGCAGUGUGAGAGCCCCCAUGAGUCUUCUAGAUAGAGAUAAACGCAUUUUAAAAGACCCUGAAAAUUCGAGUAGCUCUCUAAAGGAGUUAGAUAUGGGUGGGGCCAGCUUCAUGGCUGUGCGACUCAGAAGGGUGUGUGCUUUAUUCUCACCAUCUUGAAAUUCUGUUUUUUUUUUUUCUUUUUUGAGGUGGAGACUCGCUCUGUCGCGUGGGCUUGAGUGCAGUGGCAUGAUCUUGGCUCGCUACAACCUCUGACUCCUGGGUUCCAGUGAUUCUCCUGCCUCAGCCUCCUGAGUAGCUGGAAUUACGGUUUUUGCAGGAGAAGAAACUCAAUUGGGAGGUGAAAUUCAAAGGAGGCGCAAAUGCUGUGUGUGAGCUGCGGCAGACAAAUGGUGCCAAGGGAAGAGUCGGAAUAACGACCAGGAGCCAGGACAGACACAUGCAGAAGGAAGGCCAUGUGAAGACACAGGGAGAAGACGACCAUCUAUGGGCCUGGGAGAGAGGCCCAGAAGAAACCAGCCCUGCUGACACCUUGAUCUUGAACUGUGGCCUCCAGAAUUGUGAGAAAAAAUUUCUGCUGUUUGUGCCACUCAAUCUGUGGCACUUUGUUAUGGCAGCCUUAGCAAACUCUUACAGGGUGCAUAAAAAAUGACCCUUCUUUUGAUGUCUUAUAGGAUGGUGGUGGGAAGACAUUUAACACAGGUUUUUGGGUCAGGCAUAGUGGCUCAUGCCCAUUAUCUCAACACUUUGGGAGGCCAAGGUGAGACGAUGGCCUGAGCCUAGGAGUUUGAGACCAUCUUGGGCACCAUAGCGAGAUUCUGUCUCUAUCAAAAAUUUAAAAAUUAGCCUGGAGUGUUGGCAUGCACCUGUAGUCCCGGCUUUUUGGGAGGCUGAGGCAGGAGGAUGAUUUGAGCCCAAGAGUUUGAGGCUGCAGUGAGCUAUUAUCACACUACUGCACUUCAGCCUGGGUGACAAAGGAAGACCCUGUCUCUAAAAAGUAAAAUAAAAUAAAGUAAAGUAAAAUAGGCUUUUGUAAAAGGUGAAAGACUGCAGCAGGGAACCCAACUCACAAACUAAAAUAAAACUAACAACCCAUCUCAUGCGUAAAAGGGUCUGUUCAGGGAUGGAAGCCUUUGGGUCUCCCUACUCCUCUAUACCUACAAGGGGGAAGCCCUACAGUACAGCUGUGGGUAUUUUAUCAUGGAAUUUUAUGCUCACAUGUGCUGAGACCAGAGCUGGCAUGCAGAACCACAAGGGGCCUGUGUCUGGAAUUUGUGGCCGAGAAAGGAGCCAUAGAACUCAGGUGUCACAACCACAGAUGUCUCCAGAAACCGGUUUGGACAUCCAGGGUCUUCAGAUGGCCAUAGUGUCCCUGUGAGUGUGCUGGGAAGGCUGUGCCCUGCAGAAGCAUUUGUAAGCACUUGGACAAGAACUGUGUGUUUUGACAUCCCUGCACUCUGGCCCCUGAGUGCAGCUAAACAGGCAGCUGCCAUCCCAUCAUCUGCACGUAGAGAGUAGCGAUGGUCAGAAACAUUAUAGGAAUGCUCUUUGGCAAAGACUAACCCCCCAGGAUGCUCCAGGAAAAUAGUUUUGGACACAGGAAUUGCCAGGUCUGGAGAAGCACAGUUCAGUCUCUCAGAUGUUUGGAACAUGACUAAAUGUUUGGGUGCAUGGUCCUUCAUCAGAGGCCUUUAAAUAGUUCACAUUAAAUCCUGAUCCUGUACCAGACAGUGGCCAGUGAAGAGUUAUCAGAUCCACUGUUCUAGUAACCAAACACCCUGGGGGGGGGUUCUUUCAGAGAUAAAAGUCAACCAGUGAGAAAGUUAAAGAUUCACGUUUAGCUGCUGGAACUGCACUGCGCUUAUGCAGGAGGAGCCCAAUCUUCUUUGCUAAUGAACUUCUUUGCUAAUAAAGUUCCUUUAUACUGGGAACUCAUUUUCCUGAUGUUUAAAACAGAAAAAAAGUCAUGCCUCAGUAGCUGCAGGGAUUGAUUCUAGGACCCUCUGUGCAUACCAAAAUCCAAAGAUGCUCAAGUCUUUUAUAUAAAAGGGUACAGUAUUCACACACAACCUACACACAUCCUCCACUACACUUUAAAUCACCUUUAGAUUACUUAUAAUACCCAGUCCCAUGUAAAUGCUAUGUAAAUAGUUUUAUACUGUAUUUUUAUUUGUAUUACUUAUUGUUGUAUUGUUAUUUAUCUUUUAUUUUUUCCCGAACAAUUUAAUCUCUAGUUUGUUGAAUCUGUGGAUGUGGAAUCCAUUGAUAUGAAGGGCCAACUGUGAUAAUAAAAAUACGUCUUGGUAUGAAUGGCCUUGAAGUAUUUUAUCAGUUUGAAAAGCAAAAAGGGAUUAACUUUGCCACAGUAAAGCUCUGGAAGGCCCUGCCCACAAUAUGCAUUCAGGAAGCCCCAUGGGUGAUGGUGGUAAAAUGAUAAUGUCCCGGUAGCUCUUCUAGUAGGCAUUGAUCCCUGCACUAGGCAUUCUUGAGACAUUCUAUGAUACUACUGUGCCACAUCCUUUUUCUUUUUUUCUAGUCUUGAAGUCUGAGCGACAGAAUGACACUAGAUGAGCCAUUAGGUUAGAUAUUUAAAACGUUGGAAGCAACGUAAACAAAUGAGUUGUCAAAUGGGUGAAAGUUAUGUUUUAACAGCCAAAA